rnacentral:lncRNA from 1 species
CGACUAUCUUACCACUUGAUCAUUUGAGGGUCUUCUGUGUUGGUCUUCUUCCAUUUUUUCAGUUUCCUCUUGAGAAAAGCAAGAUAUUGGUGGAUGCGUAACCCUGUAGACCUCAAGCAAUUGAUGAUUCUUCCUGCCUCUAAAUGGCAGUGAACACGUUCAGAACAUGCUGUGGAGAAAAGGAAGGAAAUGAAUACACUGAUCCUCCAUGGGGAAAAAACUAGCCUUUCCUUUGAGAGAAAAGAAUAAUGCCAGGUGUCCUCAUAUGUAUCAAUUCCUGUGGGAAGCGUUUGCUGAUAUUCUGCCCACACCUCCACCACCACCCACGUGAAGGGUAAGAACAUCAUCUAGGUCACUCUCAUGUAUGCUUAUUAGGGCACAUAGACUGUAAAUUGCAUGCCUACUUCCUUUUCUGCCUAGUGGAACCUAAGUUCCUCAAAGGCAGGAACCAUGUGAUACACCUUUGAAUCUCCAGAUUCUGACCUGCAGCAUUGUCUAAUCUCACAUGUUUAAUAAAGGUUUAUUGAACCUUUCUUAAUAAGAUGAA